rnacentral:tRNA from 1 species
GCCUGGGUGGCUCAGUAGGUUGGGCAACUGACUUCGGUUCAGGUCACAAACUCACAGUUGUUCGUGGGUUCGAGCCCCGCGUCGGGCU